GCGCUGCUUUGGCAACAUAUAUAUUAAAAUUUGAAUGAUAUGGAGAAGAUUAGCAUAGCCCUUUGCAAUGAUGACACACAAAUUCAUAAAGCAUUCCUUU
rnacentral:snRNA from 1 species